rnacentral:misc_RNA from 1 species
CAGAGUUGCAAAACUCCCACAAACCAUCGCGAAUCUUACCCCGUACCGGUUGCCUCGGCGCUGGCGGUCCGGAAGGCCCUCGGGCCCCCCGGAUCCUCGGGUCUCCCGCUCGCGGGAGGCUGCCCGCCGGAGUGCCGAAACCAAACUCUUGAUAUUUUAUGUCUCUCUGAGUAAACUUUUAAAUAAGUCA